rnacentral:lncRNA from 1 species
GUUGAUUUACUUUUCCCUUUGCAUUUCGGAUAUGUUUUGAUUUCUUUUCUUUUUUCUUUUCCAUGUGAAUCCGCUUUGGAGUCCAAAUGAGCUCCCUCCUUUUUGCAUUUCAUGACGGGCCAAUAAGGCCCAUCUUUUGAGUCGAGUUCCGCAAUUACUGCAAGACCGAUUGACUUUUGGAUAAAGAAGUUGAUAUUGAUGGAAGAGGAAAAUAGGUUGAUACCCAUUGAUGAAAAUUUGUCAAACUUGUAUUGUUUGUUUUAUUAUUUUGUUCUGCUUCUUUAUCUAUUUAUUCAUUCAUUUAGGCCUCGAAGCUAAAGUUGUAAUUUUAAUACAGAUGAAGCAGAUUUUGAGCCAAAUGGUCCAAGAAGAUGGUUCAAGAUAGGUUAUGGGCUAAAAGCUCAAUAUUUAGAUUAGGACAAGUGACAACAGGCCAAAAACCCAAAUGUAUAGUUUAGGACAGGUGCAAGCGGGUUUGGGACUAAAAGCCUAAUCUCAUUUUUUACCUUUUUCUUUUCUAUGGUUAUUUGCUAUUUGUGCCUUCGAAUUUAGUUAAAUUCCCUACUAAGUCGUCAAAUUGAUUUUACACAAGUUUUGUCCUAAAUCACUUUCUUUCAAAAAUCAAUCUUUUUAAAGUUAGUCAAAGAUAUUUUCAAACAGUCCGGAUAACCGCAAGUUAGAGGACAUUUUAGGUGUCUUAAACCUUCUCAAAACGUUAAUAGGAAUCGCUUACUCAGAAUCUUCAAAUUUAAAUGAUUUUUCUGUUUUGGAUCGUUUAAAGUAUUUCAUAAAGAUUUCUUAAUUCCUUUUCAAAAUUAAGUAGCGACUCUGAAAGGCAAAUUUUCGCAAAACAGUACCUAACUUAGUAAAUUUCAACUCACUGAGUCAUCACUCAAGUCAUCAAACUAAACCACAUUCAAAACAAAAAAAAUUACCUUAAAAGUACCUACACUUUAUCAAUUUCAAGUGAGUAAGUCAC